AAAUUGAAGAGUUUGAUCAUGGCUCAGAUUGAACGCUGGCGGCAGGCCUAACACAUGCAAGUCGAACGGUAACAGGAAGCAGCUUGCUGCUUCGCUGACGAGUGGCGGACGGGUGAGUAAUGUCUGGGAAACUGCCUGAUGGAGGGGGAUAACUACUGGAAACGGUGGCUA
rnacentral:rRNA from 4 species